CACACACACACACACACACACACACUAAAGGACUAUGUUGAGUUUUUGCAAAGGUAAAAACCAUCACAACUGCAAAUAGUGUGUUUGGUCUGAUGCAGUAUGUAUUUUAAAGGAAUAAUUUGAAUUUUUGAAGUGGGUUUGUAUAGGACACUUAUCCAUAGACAGUUUAUUUAAUGCAGUGGAUAUCAGUCAACAUGCUCCCAGUUCGGAAAAGCAAGUUGGAUUCCAACAUUGAAGCUCAGCAAUGUACCACUGUGGACGUGAACAGCAACAAAAUCUAAACAAAAAAUCUCUAUCAGUUUAGUUGUAGGCUAAGUCGAGACAGUUUUUCAAUGCUUUACCUUUUCAUCAGACAGCCCAUUCUAGCGGGGAAGCCGUUAACUGCUUCAGUUCCUCAUCCAUGCUGUCUGGAAAGCCACCAGAUUCAAUUAAGAAAAACAGUAGCUGCUGGUCUACUCAUGGUUCCCACGCUGGUGUUAAAAAGUCUUAAAUCCAACAAUCCAAUUUUUUAAUUUUUUUAAUUUUGGUUAUUAGGUCUAAAAGAUGAGGUGUUGGUCUUAAAAAUGAGAUUAGCUCUCUAUUGUGUUAAAAAUGUUUAGUGUUCUCGCGGCACUUGCUUAGCUAGCCAGCGUUCCUGCUUGCUGUAGAAUCAAGUGACUCCCUGACCAUGGCUAGCCUACACUGCGCCAUGGUAAACAUGCGUUUAGUUCGAGUUGGUUGAACGUAGACUGUCGUUUGCUCCAUUUAAGAGCUUCUAACUUUACUUCGUUUUGAGUUUCCAUGCUCGCUAUGUAAUUUGAGAAGCCAUGGGCAAGUGUAGGUUUAAUGAGCUGUGGCUAGAUUAAAGCGUGUAUAGGUCCUGGUUAAAAGCAGCGGAUGGGAAUCUGCACGAAGCCCGUUGCACUUAGUGCAUAACAAAUAUUCAACUCAGAACAUUAAGGGUAAAGGCUCUGGAAUCGCAUGCGAUCUUCGCGUCCUCGAAACAUGAGACCCAAAUAAGAGGUCUGCAACACACCAGACAACUCUCCUCCAUACUUCCUCCUUCGAGGGACCCAGUGCCUGCAGCACCGGCUCCGCCUCCAACCUCCCAGCCACCUGCUACUGCUACACAGUCUCCCGGUACCUCUACUUGGCCUCCCGCUACUGAAGGAAGAAUCGACCUUGCGCUGGGAUCCACGCCAACACUGGUGGAGGAAGUGUGCAGGACUUGCUGGUGAGUAUCAAAGUAAGUAGCUAACGCAAAUCAAUUAUUUAUCUGUUCCAUUUGGUAGCUAAACAUUUUUCUAGAAUGCCACUAGCUGUAGUGUCUCAGCUAACUUUAUAUCAGUGGGCCUAUUGUAGGCUAACGUUAACUUAGCCUACUUGUCUCAUCUGUGAACAUACUAGCAACAUGUAUAUUCAUUUUCAGCUUCAUAGGAAUGAGUGUUUGAGUACAUUUGAAAUGUGUGUUGGUACGUAGCCAAUAUGGCAAUUAUCACGGCCAUUUGAAUAUUCUCCGUCACCCUUCCUGUAGCUGCAGUUGAGUAUUAGACUACACAUUUGUUCAUCCUGCAACCCUUGUUGUUUUCAUUUGUAAUGCUGAACUCGGCUAUGAACAACAUGGAUAUUGCCUAACAUUAAUUUUUGUGUUUCAGGAGUGUAUUAACCAGCUCCAUGUAAGGAGCCUGGUCUCUGUGUCGAUGGACGGUCCCAAUGUAAAUUGGAAAUUCUUCGACCUUCUCCAGGAGGAGCAGGCUCAUCGCUAUGGAGGUGAUGUUAUACUGGAGCAGUUCGGUGUUCUCCUGUUCCGUGAGGGGAGAAGUGAGGAGUUCCACUCUUUCCAACCCAUGUGAAAGAGAGUGGAUGUCUUCUUGUGUGAUGUCCUCAGCAAGCCCUACCCUGACCUCUGGGCUUUUUGCCAGAAGCUGCUCAUCUUGUCCCAUGGUCAAGCGUCUGUCGAGAGAGGCUUUUCGGUGAACAAAGAGGUGGAGACAACCAACAUAAUGGAGGACACUGUUGUUGCUUGGCGGCUUGUGUGCGACUAUGUCGCUCUACACUGAGGUGUUACUCAGGUGCCACUCACUAAGGACCUCCUGAAGUCUGCGGAAGGAGCUCGGACCAGGUACUGUGACUACCUUACAUAGGAGAGAGGGAAGAAGGAGUUAGAAGCGCAGGCUCAGAAGAGAAAGGCUGCAGAGGACAACUUCGAGAAACUAAGAACGAGACAGAAAACCAUCCUAGAGGUGUGUCAAGGUCUGGCCAGAGAGGCUGAUAAGUCAGUAGAAGAGGCAGAGGCCAAGUCUGGCACGAAGAUGGCCGAGCUCAUCUCCAAGUCCAAUAUCCUGCGAAAGGGCAGCAAGGAGAAGUUGGCUGAGCUUGAGAUCAUUGAGAAGGAGAUAGAGGCAAAUGGAGC